GCCGGGUGUGGUGGCUCACACCUGUAAUCCCAGCACUUUGGGAGGCCGAGACAGGUGGAUCACCUGAGGUCAGGAGUUGGAGACCAGCCUGGCCAACAUGGUGAAACCCCGUCUCUA
rfam:Gorilla gorilla gorilla genomic chromosome, chr19, whole genome shotgun sequence